rnacentral:rRNA from 1 species
UCUCUCUGAAUCUGCGAACGGCUCCGCAAGCCAGUCGUAAACUAUAGCAAGUCCGCCUUGGUGCCGGCCGUAAGGUUGGUGCUGGGGCUACAUGGAUACCCGUGGUAAUUCUGAGGCUAAUACAUGAACGUACCCCCUGAUCAACUGGGUAACCGGGAGGUUGGGGACAGUGCGGUCAGUCGCAGAUUUUGCUGGGAAUAGACGCACUUUCAAACCACCAUACGAGCAGUUGGGGUACCGACCUUCGGGAAGGUGCCCUUUCUGGGUGGGCCUUGCUUUGUGCUUCUGACCUAUCAACUAGAUGGCAGCGUAACGGACAUGCUAUGGUUACAACGGGUACAGAGGAUAAGGGUUCGAUCCUGGAGAGUGGGCCUGAGAGAUUGAGC